UUUAUUGAACAACAAUCAACAGAGGUGUUCAAAGGGAUUAAAAAACACAAUAAAGCCCAAAGGCUUGUUUCCAUUGUGGUCCUUCAGAUAAAAAAGGAGAAACAACACAUUGACCUAAACACGGAGAACAAACACACAGCACAUGGUUUACAACGUUGAGGAAAAAAGGGGGAUAAAAUAAAUAAAACCAGGGACAAGUUCCCAGACAGACAAGCAGACACACAGACAGUACAAUAUGAUGCAUUGCAUUGAUGACACACAUAAAUGUCAGGAAUGUAUGUGACUGCGUUGAAAACUUCCAUUGUACAUUUGUUGUGCUUUUGCCUUAAGGGGAUGGACUCCGUCCCACCAACCCAGGACUGAUACGUUGAAUAGAACGCAAUAAUUAUGAAAUGUUAUGAAUAUGGGUCUUGGUCCUGUCAGGUCGCCGUCCCCGCUCACCCAGCCCUGAAGCCCCCCUGAGCCCCGGUCCGGUGCUGUUCCUGGGGAUGAACCGUGGCUCUACCUGCAAUGAGUUUCCAAACCGGCAACAACACAGCCAGGCGGUCCAUUCUCACAGGAUCGGCCUCCUGGACUUCAGUGGCUCCGACCGUGACUGAAGAAAGAGCUUCCAUAACUUCCAAGAGCAGCAGUGGAUGGUUUGAACAUGGAGGGGGAACAACCACGAUAGCACAGAAGACGUUACAUUCAGCCACAUCACCUCUGGAGCCAAUAACAGUUGACCGACAGGCACAGUGUGCACAGCCAUGCUUCCAGUUUUGCUGUGGAAAGUAUUUUUUUUAUUUUAUGGAUAAAGUAGUCCUAUUUUGUUAUUGUAUUAUUGCUACUAAUGUGUUUUGAAAAUGACAUAUGCAAUAUAAAUUGUGAUUUGUGAGUCAAUAAUCAAAAGAGAUGUCCUGGGAUGUAAGCAAGGACCCGAGGUACGUAGGAGUGUUUAUAGCAACACCCUAAGAGUUAACUUGCAGAUUGGCUGUGUGGUUAAUGAUCUAAGGUAAACCAUAUCUGAUUUAUGAGGGUAUGUUAUGGUUUGUGAAUUGAAGAAAAAAUUAUGAAAAUGCUUUUCGUUACAAACCCUUAGAAUAUUUUUUGGAGAUCACACUACUGAAGACAAACACCAAAGACUUCCUCUAGUUCAUAAAAAAAGAUAAAAGAUCAUAAGAUAUAUAUUAUAUUGCACAUCUAAUAUGGACAUGUUUUGCAGUCCAUAUUUUGCAAUUGUCGUCCGUGAAUUGGUUGGUUGUCUGAAAUGAAAGUAGUGUCUGUGACUUUACCCAUCGCUAUACACACACAACCUGUAUGCCUUCUACUGAGCGCUGCCAUUGUUUGAGAUUUUUACAACCAGCAGCAGGAAACAAUCCAUAUAUGGUACAUUGAGGGAAGGAAUUUCAUGGCCUCAGUCUAUAUCCCAGAGUCCAUAGUCUAUCACUUAUUAAUAUUCGCUCGUAAAUGACCAUGUCAUGAAAUAUAACUGUAAACCGGGGCUAUUGAAAGUACAUAAUUUGAAGAUAAACUAUCCACUCAGAUCCUAACAGAACAAAGAAAAAUCGAUAUUGUAAAAUAAUUGUACACAUAAUAUGACAAGAAUGAAAUCACAUUCCUUCCAGUUGACAAUUCAGGCAGCAACUACCACAAACCCUUUAAAGGUUGUUAGAGGAGGUACAUGUUCAAAAGGCAAUGUAGAGAGACUAAUGAGUGAUCAUGCCAAGCUUUUUGCAGACUGGUGUGUAACAAUAUUAAUGAGGUGAUAUUUCCAUUUGACAAUACGCUUACCUUUAUCCCCCAUGGGUAGAGGCAUUCUCAAAGCACACUGCGGGGUUUGAUAUGGUACAUCUCUUCAGACGCCAUGCAAUCACUUGAGAUGCAACUAACUAAAAUCGUAUUGUUGAAUUGCAAAUCUUUGAUCUGAACUCAGCCUCAGUCUGUUCCAAAUGAGCUUAAUAAACAGACAAUCAUAGCUGGCGCUUUGUUUGCUCACAUGGCUGUCCCGUGAACAUUCAUGUCCAUGACCAAGACAACCAGGGCCUUGCACAGUUCACGUUGCCAUGCAAGUUUGUGUCUGAGCCGACGUUGAAUAUGAGGCGGGAUUGGUUUAAGCUAUUUAACACAGUCCCAUUUACUGACUGUUGGAUCUGAGGCCAAAUAGUAAAGCCCUUCAUCCUAGCAUAUAAAAGGUUAGAAACAUCUGUAGAAUGACAUCAACCAGACACUGUAAGAAAAACAAUCAGGUUAUUGCUGUUUACUUUGUUUCAUUUGGGGUAAUGAUGUAAUCCUCUUUUUACGACUGUUUGGUGAGAAACACCUUCAUCUUUCUGAACUGAACAUCAUUUCAGCCAAAAAAAAAACAUGUAUUGGAAAGACCUUCAUUAAAAUCUUAAUAGAAUGAUGACCUCAGAAUGAGAAUGUUUCUCAAAAUGACAACGGUAAUGACGACAUAAUUGUCAAUGGUAAGUGAAGAUGUGUUUCACUUGAAUGUUUUUCAACACUCAACCGUCAAUCUGAGCAAAAUAUGAACUGUGUAUGGUCAUUGUUAACGUGAUUCUGAAGCUAUAAAUAUUGGAAGGUAGACG
ensembl:lncRNA